rnacentral:rRNA from 1 species
AACGUAGGACACAAGCGUUAUCCGGAGUUACUGGGCGUAAAGGGCGUGUAGGCGGACCUAUAAGUCUACUCUGAAAGCUCCUGGCUAAACUGGGAGAGGCGAAUGGAGACUGUAGAUCUAGAGUGAGGAAGAGGAAAGUGGAAUUCCGCGUGUAGUGGUGAAAUGCGUAGAGAUAGUGGAGGAAUACCGAUGGCGAAGGCAGCCCCCUGGGAUAACACUGACG